rnacentral:rRNA from 1 species
AUUGAACGCUAGCGGAAUGCUUUACACAUGCAAGUCGAACGGCAGCACGGACUUCGGUCUGGUGGCGAGUGGCGAACGGGUGAGUAAUACAUCGGACCGUGCCCAGUCGUGGGGGAUCACGUAGCGAAAGCUACGCUAAUACCGCAUACGAUCUAAGGAUGAAAGCGGGGGAUCGCAAGACCUUGCGCGCUUGGAGCGGCCGAUGGCCGAUUAGGUAGUUGGUGGGGGAAAGGCUCACCAAGCCGACGAUCUGUAGCUGGUCUGAGAGGACGACCAGCGACACUGGGACUGAGACACGGCCCAGACUCCUACGGGAGGCAGCAGUGGGGAAUUUUGGACAAUGGGCGCAAGCCUGAUCCAGCCAUUCCGCGUGCAGGAUGAAGGCCCUCGGGUUGUAAACUGCUUUUGUACGGAACGAAAAGGCUCUGGUUAAUACCUGGGGCUCAUGACGGUACCGUAAGAAUAAGCACCGGCUAACUACGUGCCAGCAGCCGCCGUAA